AGAUCUGAGACGGGGUAAAUCUUAAUCAUAUCAUGUAAACUCUGGGUGCAGAUGUGACAGAUCCUUCUAGAUCCCAAACCAGCAUUAGUGUUCAUACUGACCUUGCAUUUAUUUUCCCAGAAUCCUUUAGGCACUAGCUGUAUGGGCAGGUGUGUCUUGAUGACUCUUGGAGGUUUCAUUGUUUUGAGUAAGUCCAGACCUGAAGGUGGGUGGGAAAUGGAUUUCAAUCUGAUCUGAGUGUAACAUACUUUUUUACAGACACUGCAUAGCUAAAAGAAUGUGCCUCCCAAUGGAACCUCCCAUUAUACUUGAGCUACUGUAUAGCAGCUAUCUGGCAACUUCUACGAUCUGAAGAAGCUUGGUCAGGAAUGGUCUUUCUGGAAGGGGAGCAGCCAAGAAACCACAUAUACCAAAGGGGGACAAAGAGAAAAUGCUAAGAUAUGCUAAAGACAUGGAGAGAGAAGGAAGAAUAGGAAUUGGUGGAGGAGAUUGGAUCUCCAGGAACGGGAUGCGUACAGCAGUAGGUGCUCGCUUACAAACCUCGGCAUCUCCAUCAUGCAGCAGCAGAUCCACAAUCUCCUGAGUCCAGAUGAUCCUGUUUUUGGUGUGGAUCUUCUGGCUUUCUAAUGAAUGAUAAUACACUGAUUUUAGUAAGCAACCUACUGAGCCAGAAGAUCAGAAAGUCAGUACAAAUACAUCCACAUUUGUAUUUGGUUGAUUUUAUUGAUUUGUGAAGAUGAAACCUCUG